rnacentral:rRNA from 1 species
UACGUAGGGGGCUAGCGUUGUCCGGAAUCAUUGGGCGUAAAGCGCGUGUAGGCGGUCCGGUAAGUCCGCUGUGAAAGUCGGGGGCUCAACCCUCGAAUGCCGGUGGAUACUGUCGGGCUAGAGUGCGGAAGAGGCGAGUGGAAUUCCUGGUGUAGCGGUGAAAUGCGCAGAUAUCAGGAGGAACACCUAUUGCGAAGGCAGCUCGCUGGGACGUAACUGACGCUGAGACGCGAAAGCGUGGGGAGCAAGCAGG